rnacentral:rRNA from 1 species
AUGAGAAGGAGGUUGCUGUGUUUGGCUACAGGAACCCUGCGGAGAUCCCAUGGGCUGCUGCUAGUGCUGAGUAUGUUGUUGAGUACACCAGUGUUUUCAUUGACAAGGACAAGGCUGCAGCUCACAUAUAGGGUGGUGCCAAUAAGGUCAUCAUUUCUGCUCCCAGCAAGGAUGCUCCCAUGUUUGUCUGUGGUGUCAAUGAGAAGGAAUACAAAUCUGACAUCGACAUUGUCUUCAACGCUAGCUGCACCACUAACUGCCUUGCUCCUCUUGCUAAGGUUAUCAAUGACAGGUUUGGCAUCGUUGAGGGUUUGA